rnacentral:lncRNA from 1 species
AUUAUGCAGCACUGAGAUGAUGGGUAGCUGACCUACUGGCUUAGUUCUCUCAGCUGAGAGCUCAUCAAAGGCAGGGCCAAGGGCACCACCAACGUGCAGCUGGUGGAAAUGGAUGGGUACCUCCCUUGUAGCCCUGGAUGUCUGGUCCUAGGCCUGUUGCACAGCCUGAAGCCAUCAUCUGCAAAUAAGUCAAUCCCAUCAGUCCUGCUAUGAGCGAUGCACAUGGAGGAUUGGCUAAAGCAAACUUGAACACUGACUCACCAGACUGCAAGCUGGAAGUGACGAGGUUCAAGGUUGACCUCCUUAUCUGAGGUGCCCGUGUCCUUG